GCCGUAACACACAAUUAAACUACCAAUUGUCCGCCAAACAACUACGAGCCAUACUUGAAACUUAAAAGACUUGACGGUACUUCAUCACGGCCUAGAGGAGCCUGUCUAAUAACCGACAAUCCACGAUUAACCCAACCCCUUCUUGCCUAGCAGUCUAUAUACCGCCGUCGCCAGCUUACCUUGUAAAAGAAAUAAAGUGAGCUAAAUAGCACAACACUAAAACGACAGGUCGAGGUGUAACUUAUGAAAGGGACCAAGAUGGGCUACAUUCUCCAACCGAGAAUACGUAUAACACUAUGAAACUAGUGUUUGAAGGCGGAUUUAACAGUAAGAUAAGAAUAAAAUACUUAACUGAACACAACGCAAUGAAGUGCGUACACACCGCCCGUCAUCCCUGCCACCACAAUACAAACCUUAAUAAACUAACUUAAAAAAUUAAACAGGGCAAGUCGUAACAUGGUAAGUGUACUGGAAAGUGUACUUAGAAACAAAAAGUAGCUUACACAAAGCACUCGACUUACACUCGAACGACAUUACAUUAAUCUUUUUGAGCUGACUAAACGACGAAACACAAACAUACACUACUAAACAAACAAAUCAUUUGCCACACUCAGUAGUUGCGAUCGAACAGUCACAAGUCAUAAUAAAGUACCGCAAGGGAACCCUUUAAGCAGUAAACAGCAAAGACUAACUCUUGUACCUUU
rnacentral:rRNA from 1 species